rnacentral:rRNA from 1 species
CCUAAAACUUAGCUAAUUUAACCCCCCUGCCACCACAACCAAAUUACUUAAGUUAAAACAUUUUUAUCAUUUAGUAGAGGCGAUCGAAAAACUUAUUAGAGCUAUAUAGCUAGUACCGCAAGGGAAAAAUGAAAUAGAUCUGAAAUAGCCCUAAAGCAAAAUACAGCAGAGAUUACCCCUCCUACCUUUUGCAUCAUGGUUUAGCUAGUCCUUAACAAGCAAAACGAAACAUCAGUUUGUUCCCCCGAAACUAGACGAGCUACUUUAAAACAGUUUAAUGGAACCAACCCGUCUCUGUUGCAAAAGAGUGGGAUGAUUUUAAAGUAGAGGUGAAAAGCCUACCGAGCCUAGAGAUAGCUGGUUACUUAAGAAAGGAAUUUUAGUUCAAUCUCAAGCCUCUUUAUUAAAAACAAUAAACAACCAAGACUUGAGAGUUAAUUAAAUAAGGCACAGCUUAUUUAAUAAAGGAUACAGCCUAUAAAAAAGGGUAAAAUUAUAACACAGAUUAAGUGGGCCUAAAAGCAGCCAAAAAAGCGUUAAAGCUUCAUCUUUUUAACCUAACUAAUACCUUACAAACCUUUAAACCCUUUACUGCUAUUAAGUAAUUCUAUAACAAUAUAGAAGUUUUUAUGCUAAAACUAGUAACAAGAAAUUGAUUUUUCUCCAAAAUUUAUGUAUAAACCAAAAUGGACCCGCCAUUGGUGAUUAACGUCAAUAAAACCAUUAUAGUAACACACCCAGAAAACACUAUUAUUUUUCACGUUAACCUUACACAAGUAAACUUCUGGAAAGAUUAAAAGAAAAAGAAGGAACUCGGCAAAUUUUAACCCCGCCUGUUUACCAAAAACAUCGCCUCUUGAUAAAAUAUAAGAGGUCCAGCCUGCCCAGUGAUAUUCUUAAACGGCCGCGGUACCCUGACCGUGCAAAGGUAGCAUAAUCAUUUGUUCUUUAAAUAAGGACUCGUAUCAACGGCAUUACGAGGGUUAUACUGUCUCCUUUUUCCAAUCAGUGAAACUGACCUCCCCGUGAAGAGGCGGGGAUAUAAAUACAAGACGAGAAGACCCCAUGGAGCUUUAAACCCAAUAACAACUCUUUUUACAUAAAAAAAACAUAAGUGUGCUGUUUAUUGGUUUUAGGUUGGGGUGACCACGGAGUAAAAAUUAACCUCCCUGACGAAUAGAUUAUAUCUUUAUCUAAGAGCAACUACUCGAAGAAUCAAAAACUUGACGCCACAUGAUCCGGCAACCGAUCAACGAACCAAGUUACCCUGGGGAUAACAGCGCAAUCCAUUUUAAGAGCUCCUAUCGACAAAUGGGUUUACGACCUCGAUGUUGGAUCAGGGUAUCCCAGUGGUGCAGCCGCUACAAAGGUUUGUUUG